ensembl:lncRNA
CCAGCCUAUCCCUACUCCUCCGAUGCCAGGUAUCGUAACCAUCUUCUCCACCAGCCUAUCCCUACUCCUCCGAUGCCAGGUAUCAUAACCAUCUCCGCCAGCCUAUCCCUUCUCCCCUGAUGCCAGGUAUCAUAACCAUCUCCGCCAGCCUAUCCCUACUCCCCUGAUGCCAGGUAUCAUAACCAUCUCCGCCAGCCUAUCCCUUCUCCCCUGAUGCCAGGUAUCAUAACCAUCUCCGCCAGCCUAUCCCUACUCCCCUGAUGCCAGGUAUCAUAACCAUCUCCGCCAGCCUAUCCCUUCUCCCCUGAUGCCAGGUAUCGUAACC